rnacentral:rRNA from 1 species
UGGGGAAUAUUGGACAAUGGGCGCAAGCCUGAUCCAGCCAUGCCGCGUGUGUGAAGAAGGCCUUUUGGUUGUAAAGCACUUUAAGCGAGGAGGAGGCUACUUGGAUUAAUACUCUAGGAUAGUGGACGUUACUCGCAGAAUAAGCACCGGCUAACUCUGUGCCAGCAGCCGCGGUAAUACAGAGGGUGCGAGCGUUAAUCGGAUUUACUGGGCGUAAAGCGUGCGUAGGCGGCUUUUUAAGUCGGAUGUGAAAUCCCUGAGCUUAACUUAGGAAUUGCAUUAGAUACUGGGAAGCUAGAGUAUGGGAGAGGAUGGUAGAAUUCCAGGUGUAGCGGUGAAAUGCGUAGCGAUCUGGAGGAAUACCGAUGGCGAAGGCAGCCAUCUGGCCUAAUACUGACGCUGAAGUACGAAAGCAUGGGGAGCAAACAGG